GACGAACGCUGGCGGCGUGCUUAACACAUGCAAGUCGAACGGUGAAGGGGUCUGCUUUUGUGGGCCCUGGAUGAGUGGCGAACGGGUGAGUAACACGUGAGUAACCUGCCCCCUUCUUCUGGAUAACCGCAUGAAAGUGUGGCUAAUACGGGAUAUUCUGGGUCUGUCGCAUGAUGGGUCCGGGAAAGAUUGCGCCUUUGGGUGUUUUUGGUGGGGGAUGGGCUCGCGGCCUAUCAGCUUGUUGGUGGGGUGAUGGCCUACCAAGGCGGUGACGGGUAGCCGGCCUGAGAGGGUGGACGGUCACACUGGGACUGAGACACGGCCCAGACUCCUACGGGAGGCAGCAGUGGGGAAUAUUGCACAAUGGGCGCAAGCCUGAUGCAGCGACGCCGCGUGAGGGAUGGAGGCCUUCGGGUUGUAAACCUCUUUCGCCAGUGAAGCAGGCCUGCUCCUUGUGGGUGGGUUGACGGUAGCUGGAUAAGAAGCGCCGGCUAACUACGUG
rnacentral:rRNA from 1 species